AGAGGAUUCUUCAGAUGAUGGGGACCUUCAGUGCGUGUGUUUAAAGACCGUGUCCAAAGUCAAUGCCAAGCACAUCACCAACCUGGAGGUGAUCAAGGCUGGACCCCACUGUGCCAACACCCAGAUAAUAGCUACACUGAAGAAUGGAAGUAAAAUUUGCCUUGAAGGGGAGGUUUCUUUCUUUAAGGGAUUAGUCCGGAAACUCAUGGCGAAGUAGUUUCUACCUGGCUAAAUAUGUACUUUGCUAUAAAACUUGUUUGGGUGUCCCCCCACUCCCCGUCUCCCCCCACAUUCUAACUAAAAAAAAAACUUCUAAUGAUUAUAUUAUCCUUCAAAUCUUAAAUAAAUAAAUAAUAUGAACCAA